rnacentral:rRNA from 1 species
UGGGGAAUAUUGGACAAUGGGCGCAAGCCAGAUCCAGACAUGUCGCGAGUGUGAAGAAGGCCUUUUGGUUGGAAAGCACUUUAAGCGAGGAGGAGGCUACUUGGAUUAAUACUCUAGGAUAGUGGACGUUACUCGCAGAAUAAGCACCGGCUAACUCUGUGCCAGCAGCCGGGGUAAUACAGAGGGGGCGAGCGUUAAUCGGAUUUACUGGGCGUAAAGCGUGCGUAGGCGGCUUCUUAAGUCGGAUGUGAAAUCCCUGAGCUUAACUUAGGCAUUGCAUUCGAUACUGGGAAGCUCGAGUAUGGGAGAGGAUGGUACAAUUCCAUGUGUAGCGGUGCAAUGCGUAGAGCUCUGUAGGAAUACCGAUGGCUACGGCAGCCAUCUGGCCUAAUACUGACGCUGAGGUACGAAAGCAUGGUGAGCAACCAGG